rnacentral:rRNA from 1 species
AAUGCGUGACCAACCUGCCCCAUGCUCCAGAAUAGCUCUUGGAAACGGGUGGUAAUGCUGGAUGCUCCAACUUGACGCAUGUCUUGUUGGGAAAGUGUUUAGUGGCAUGGGAUGGGGUCGCGUCCUAUCAGCUUGUAGGCGGGGUAAUGGCCCACCUAGGCUUCGACGGGUAGCCGGCCUGAGAGAGCGGACGGCCACAUUGGGACUGAGAUACGGCCCAGACUCCUACGGGAGGCAGCAGAU